UAUAUAAUUUCUGUGUUUGAGGGAGCUUCUGUCUCUUAUAGAUCCUAGGUCCACCCAUAUGAGGAAAUCAGGUUAUAUUAUUAAGGGAGCUAACCAAGACUAAGUUGCUGAGAUAAUAUACAUAACUACCUAUCAUUGAAAAAAAAUUGUCUCGCUAUAAAUAUUAAUGUUUCCUAGCAUCUAUAUUGCUGCAAUAGAUUGUGUACAAUUUUAUAUACAUUAUUAUUACAUAUAAUGAUACCAUAUUGCCAUUAACCCGUCAUUGGUAUAUGGUUAGCGUUUCGCGAACAUUCAACUUAUAUUAGAAA